UACGUAGGGUGCAAGCGUUGUCCGGAAUUAUUGGGCGUAAAGAGCUCGUAGGCGGUUCGUCGCGUCGGCUGUGAAAUCCCGAGGCUCAACCUCGGGUCUGCCGUCGAUACGGUCGGACUGGAGUUCGGCAGGGGAGACUGGAAUUCCUGGUGUAGCGGUGAAAUGCGCAGAUAUCAGGAGGAACACCGGUGGCGAAGGCGGGUCUCUGGGCCGAUACUGACGCUGAGGAGCGAAAGCGUGGGGAGCGAACAGG
rnacentral:rRNA from 1 species